rnacentral:rRNA from 1 species
GUGCCAGCCGCCGCGGUAAUACAGAGGGUGCUAGCGUUGUUCGGAAUUAUUGGGCGUAAAGCGCGUGUAGGCGGUUCACCAAGUUGGGUGUGAAAGCCCUCGGCUUAACCGAGGAAGUGCGCCCAAAACUAGUGAACUCGAGUACCGGAGAGGGUGGCGGAAUUCCCGGUGUAGAGGUGAAAUUCGUAGAUAUCGGGAGGAACACCAGCGGCGAAGGCGGCCACCUGGACGGAUACUGACGCUGAGACGCGAAAGCGUGGGGAGCAAACAGGAUUAGAAACCCCAGUAGUCC